UAAUACGUAGGGGGCGAGCGUUGUCCGAAGUUACUGGGCGUAAAGCGCGCGUAGGCGGUUCUUUAAGUUAAUUGUGAAAUCUCCACGGCUCAACCGGGAGACUGCGGUUAAGACUGGGGGACUUGAGAUUGGGAGAGGGAAGUGGAAUUCCUGGUGUAGCGGUGAAAUGCGUAGAUAUCAGGAGGAACACCAAAGGCGAAGGCAGCUUCCUGGCCCAAUUCUGACGCUGAGGUGCGAAAGCGUGGGUAGCGAACGGGAUUAGAUACCCCGGUAGUCCACGCCGUAAACGAUGGAUACUAGGUGUUAGAGGUAUCGACCCCUCUAGUGCCGCAGCUAACGCAUUAAGUAUCCCGCCUGGGGAGUACGGCCGCAAGGUUG
rnacentral:rRNA from 1 species